rnacentral:rRNA from 1 species
GACGGCCGUACCAUGCUGAAUAUACCGGUUCUCGUUAGAUCACCGAAGUUAAGCAUCAUUGGGCGCGGUCAGUACUUGGGUGGGUGACCACCUGGGAACACUGCGUGCCGU